rnacentral:rRNA from 1 species
UACGAAGGGGGCUAGCGUUGCUCGGAAUGACUGGGCGUAAAGGGCGCGUAGGCGGAUUGUACAGUCAGGCGUGAAAUUCCCGGGCUCAACCUGGGGGCUGCGCUUGAGACGUGCGAUCUUGAGUGGGGAAGAGGGUCGUGGAAUUCCCAGUGUAGAGGUGAAAUUCGUAGAUAUUGGGAAGAACACCGGUGGCGAAGGCGGCGACCUGGUCCUUGACUGACGCUGUGGCGCGAAAGCUAGGGGAGCGAACGGG